AUGAACGCUGGCGGCGUGCCUAAUACAUGCAAGUCGAGCGAACAGACGAGGAGCUUGCUCCUCUGACGUUAGCGGCGGACGGGUGAGUAACACGUGGAUAACCUACCUAUAAGACUGGGAUAACUUCGGGAAACCGGAGCUAAUACCGGAUAAUAUAUUGAACCGCAUGGUUCAAUAGUGAAAGACGGUUUUGCUGUCACUUAUAGAUGGAUCCGCGCCGCAUUAGCUAGUUGGUAAGGUAACGGCUUACCAAGGCAACGAUGCGUAGCCGACCUGAGAGGGUGAUCGGCCACACUGGAACUGAGAUACGGUCCAGACUCCUACGGGAGGCAGCAGUAGGGAAUCUUCCGCAAUGGGCGAAAGCUUGACGGAGCAACGCCGCGUGAGUGAUGAAGGUCUUCGGAUCGUAAAACUCUGUUAUUAGGGAAGAACAAAUGUGUAAGUAACUAUGCACGUCUUGACGGUACCUAAUCAGAAAGCCACGGCUAACUACGUG
rnacentral:rRNA from 1 species